rnacentral:tRNA from 1 species
CCGCCCAUAGCUCAAUUUGGUAGAGCAGCUGCCUCUUAAGCAGUUGGUUAUAGGUUCGAGUCCUAUUGGGCGGA